rnacentral:rRNA from 1 species
CCUACGGGAGGCAGCAGUGGGGAAUAUUGGACAAUGGGGGGAACCCUGAUCCAGCCAUGCCGCGUGUGUGAAGAAGGCCCUCGGGUUGUAAAGCACUUUCAGUGAGGAAGAACGCCUUGUGGUUAAUACCCAUCAGGAAAGACAUCACUCACAGAAGAAGCACCGGCUAACUCCGUGCCAGCAGCCGCGGUAAUACGGAGGGUGCGAGCGUUAAUCGGAAUUACUGGGCGUAAAGCGCGCGUAGGUGGCUUGAUAAGCCGGUUGUGAAAGCCCCGGGCUCAACCUGGGAACGGCAUCCGGAACUGUCAAGCUAGAGUGCAGGAGAGGAAGGUAGAAUUCCCGGUGUAGCGGUGAAAUGCGUAGAGAUCGGGAGGAAUACCAGUGGCGAAGGCGGCCUUCUGGACUGACACUGACACUGAGGUGCGAAAGCGUGGGUAGCAAACAGGAUUAGAUACCCCAGUAGUC